GGAACCAUUAGAGAGGAAUGGACUAUUAGGCCCACGAGAUCGUCGACCCAUUGGUAGUCACUAAAGGCAUGGUGGUCGCAUUCGUGGCCUAUGACCCAAGCUCCGGUUAGGACACAUCCUUGGAUGGCAAUGUAGGCGGCCCAGCCAAAGUAGUUGAGGGGAUGGGGAAGGAACUGGUCGAUGUAAUUAGUGGCAAUGUAGUAGAGGGAGUAGGCCAUGAGGAGAUCUUGAAUGAGGUAGCGGAAUGAGGUGACGAGGGAUUUUUGGAAGCAAUGGGCUGGAAUGGCUUUUUUAAGGUCUCCUAUGGUGAAGGGAGGUUUGUCGUGAGGGGCUCGGCGAAGGGCUUCGGCUUGUGUCUUUUUGUUGGCAUUAGGGGGAGCUGACAUACGCCCACCUGCACCCAUUUUUCGGAUAUAUUGGCCUGCCUGCAAUUAGGAAGAUGAAAAUGUACCAUAUUAAGCACAGAACAUAUGUCAUUGUACAUUUAUAUGUGCUAAGCUGGAUAAUAAGAUAGAGAUAUCAUAAGAAAUUCCAAAAAAAAAAAAUUAACACAGGUUCAUCUUUUUCCUAUAGAAACCUAUAUGAAAUUUGUUUUAUUUUAACAUGUGAAACCUAUACUAUUGUUUGUUGGAUUUUUUCUAAUAAUGAAUUAGACGAAGAAAAGACUUGAAGCUAACAUAUUUAGAUAACGUUUGAUCAGUGUAUGAAAAUAAUACCCGAAAGAGAAGCUUUUGCUGGUCUCUUCCUCUGCCUUUGUUUCUGUGUUAUGUUGCUGCUGCUCUUACUAAGUUCCCCCACAACUUCACUAUUUAUAUAGAAAGUCUUUGUAAGCUAUAAGAUGACCCACUAGGUAAUGUCUAAAGCAGCUUGAAGCGCUCGCCCGCCAGCCCGCCACUCGGUAGCUGUCUGGACUUUGUGCUUAAUUUCUUUCUUUUACUAUGUUUCCUAGAUGUUUGUUGGUGUUUGGUACUAGUAGUAGUGUAAAAUUAGGGCGGGAGUCAUUUCUCAGUCCUAAAGGGCUGCUUAAAUUGCUAGAAUUUCAGUCCAUAUUGGCGACUACAUUUAAAAAUAAUAAUCUUUUUCAGCUUUUUUAGUCAUGCAUUGGAGGUUCAACUAAUUAGGGAUAUGGGCAAUCUUCUCUUAUAUGUUGGCUGUUGCACUCAAUGAUUACUCCAAUUUGUUUUUUUAUUCACCCUCUACUAUAAUUUUUUUUUUUAUUUUUAAUGCAAGUUCGAAUCAACAUUUAAAAUUGGCUAAGUAUUAGAUAUUUAAUUAAUUUCAUCUAACGUACUAAAGUUCUAACAAUAAAAGAUCACUGUUUUAUACUGAAAGUCAAGCGGUAACUAAGAAAUAUAGAACUAAUUAAUUAAUUUCAUCCUUGUUUGAAUACUCCAAAAUGAAGAAUACCAUUUUAACAUAUUUGACACAUGGGCCUAAUCUCCCAACUGAAUAAUGUUCCAACAAUUUAUUUAAAAAUCUUAUUCUUCAGUCAGGCAGGCACUGGCGUGCUCUAGUCUAGUGCAUUGUCAGUCAACUUUGCUGUACUAAUUUGACUGAAGACCCUAUUGACUUGGGAAAGUAUGUUUGUUAGCAUCAUUCACUUCAGGCUAUCACAUAUAUAUAACUACAACCCAAAGUUGUGGACUUCAGCAAAUUAAUUAAGCCAAACAUUUACCAAAUCCAGCAACAAACAAAGCUAGAGAGAACUAGCUAGCUAGCUUGUAUUUCCACUGAAAAAGUCAAAUACAUUUAGGCCAUUCCACAAUGGGUAAAGGUGGCCGUAUGCCCAUCGGCAACCAGGCGAAGCAAACCCAGAAAAAUGAAAAUAACAACAAUAAUAUUAUCCGUCGAGUCCCUCAUGAAAAACCACCAUUUACCCUCGCCGACAUCAAAAAAGCCAUUCCACACCAUUGCUUCAACCGUUCCCUCCUCCGCUCUUCCUCCUACCUCCUUCUCGACCUCGCUGUUUGCUUCCUCCUCUACUACAUUUCCACAACCUACAUUCCCCUCCUCCCUAAACCCCUCUCCUAUCUCGCUUGGACCGCUUAUGUUUAUGUCCAAGGUUGUUUCCUGUUCGCCGUAUGGGUAGUCGCCCACGAAUGUGGCCACCACGCCUUUAGCAACUACCACUUGCUAAAUGACACCCUUGGCUUCAUUCUCCAUUCCCUUCUCCUCGUCCCUUAUUUCUCUUGGAAAAUUAGCCACCGUCGCCACCACGCCAACACCAAUUCUCUGGACCGAGAUGAAAACCAUGUCCCGAGAUUCAAGGACACAAUAAGAUCAUAUUACCAUCACUUCAACAACCCGCUUGGCCGAGCAUUCAUCAUUGCAUUCACACUAACUUUAGGAUGGCCUUUGUAUUUAAUUGUAAACAUAGCGGGACGAUCUUAUGACCGUUUUGCAUCCCAUUUUGACCCCUAUAGUCCGAUUUAUUCCGACCGUGAGCGGGCUCAAAUCUUGUUGUCGGAUAUUGGUUUUCUUGCCACAGUUUACGGGCUCUAUCGGAUUGUACUCGUAAAAGGACUUUCAUGGGUAAUGCUAGUAUACGGAGCUCCGUUACAUGUGGUAAAUGGGUUUCUUGUGAUGAUAACUCUACUGCAUCACACUCAUGUAUCGUUGCCUCACUACGAUUCGUCCGAGUGGGAUUGGUUGAGGGGAGCGCUAGCUACUGUUGACAGGGACUAUGGAAUUCUGAACAAAGUGUUCCAUCACAUAGCGGAUACUCAUGUGCUCCACCAUUUGAUCUCUAGCAUUCCUCAUUAUCAUGCCCAAGAGGCGACUGAGGCGAUAAAGCCGGUAUUGGGGGAUUAUUACCAUUAUGACGGAACUCCAUUCUACAAGGCAAUGUGGAGAGAGGCAAAGGAAUGUCUGUAUGUUGAGGCAGAGGAAGGAGAGAAGAGCAAAGGUGUUUACUGGUACAAGAACAAGCUUUGAGUUCAAUCCAAUCCAUACAAAUUAUUAAAUGCUCUCUUUAGAACUAAAAGGGUACGUAGAAGACCUUGUAAUGGAGAAAUCUUGCCUUUCACUGCAUAUAUAUGUUGAAAUGAUUCAACAACAAGAAGUAUUUUCAGAGACGAGAAGUAUUUGCAUUUGAGGGUAUAAUUAAUAAUCUUACAAAAUAUGAGCUACACUAGAAUACCACUGGUGCGCCGAGGCAAAAAUUUCCAAAUUUCAAAUGUUAUGGAGUCAUUUAUUUUUUCUAUUUUUAUUUAUUUAAAAUAAUCACUGUAGAAAUUCAUAAAAUUACCUUUAAUUUAAUUAUUUUAAUAGCACGAGCUUCUUUCUAUUGAGCUAUUUAUGGUGAAAAAAUCUAUGACCAAUAAAGCUGCUGUUAAUUAAGUGUCAAAAGGGCAACAAAAUAGAUUAAAUGAACGAAUAUGCCUUUAAAUAUUAGCUGAGUUAUUUUAAAUAUUAUGAAAUUAAAUAACAUAAAUAAAUAUCUUAUAAUCCUUAUUAUACUCUCUCCGUUACAAAAAUAAUAAAAUUAACAUAAAAAUAAAAUAGUAAUCUAAAUAUAAAACUUAAGAUUUCUUUUUUUAUUUUAUAAACUCAGUAGUUACAUAAAAUAAAACUUAUGUUAUAAUAAACUCAGUAAUUAAUAACAUGAAAUAAACAUUAAUAGGACUCCAUCGAUCCUAACCUUAAUGGCUGGACUUGAUUUUUAAAACUUCAUAAGGUUUGCGUGGGGUGUGGGAUGUAGACAACCAAAUUUUAACUUCCACUACAAAAAAUUAAUUAGAGAGAGAGAGAUUAGUUGGACAGAUACUUCUGUGUAGGGCUAUAAAUUACAGGAAAAUAGGAUAUUAUUGGUAUUUGUUUAAAGCGGAUAUUAUUGGAUAUUAUUCACAUUCGAUUAAAUAUAUUUGUAAAUAAAUAGAUACGAAUACGAAUUUUGUAUCUAUUUAACAUCCGUCUAUCGACAGAUAUGCGGUUCAUAAUUCUUAGCAAAAAAACAGGUUUAUUAUAAAAUGAUAAUAUUUUUUUAAUAUCUUUCAUAAAUAUAUUUUAUUAAAUAGAGUGAUUGAUUUUUAUUUCUUUUGAAUUUUAUAAUUUAAUCAUAAGGUUGAUAAUUGUGUUAUGUUAUAUUAAUAUCAUAAUAGUAAUUUUUAAAAUUUUUAAAUAUUUAUUUACUAUUUAAUAUACUAUAUCAAAUAUGAAUAUGGAUGAAAUAUUUUUUUCAAAUACGAAUAAAUAUAGGGAAUUGUUAAAUACACAACAUAAAAUAUUAUUUACACAACAAAAGUGUUGCUAUAGAUCUUAUAGCGACGGUUUUCACCGAUGUAUAGAUCUUAUAGUGACGGUUUUCACCGUGUUAUACAUCUACAGCGACACUUUUGUUAUGAAAAUAAUAAAAAGUGUCGUGAAUUUAACCGUUUCCAUACAUAUAUCAUUGUAUUCGAAUUCAAAUACUUCCGUUUAAACCCCUACUUAAAGUAGAAUAAAUCAUUAAUUAACUCUCCUCGCUUAGCUCAAGUCGUCUUCUGGCCUGCUAAUCCUUAACAUAUACUCCAAUAGUUGAAACGCGUGCAGCACUAAGUGCAGAGAAUGGCCGGUGGGUUGCUUAGAGUUAGAGAAUUUGGUUACUAUUAAUCUAAUAUUACGCGCGUGCGUACUAAGGCAGCCAAGCCAGCCUCUGGGCUCUGGUCACACAACGUACCCUACAAACAUUAAUGGUGUGUUUUUGAUUGUAUGCUGUUUAUAUUCGUUACUCAAGUAUGCCGAAACAGGAGGAGCAUUAAUUCAAUAUAGAAACAAAAGGUAUAUAUUAACUGAAAUAUCACUUGCAAUGAAAACUACAUAAAUUAAAAUUAGAAAGAUAUUCUUGAACAACAGUAGAAAUUAAUAAAGACGUUGUUUUUCAACACUUUUAUCUUAUUACAGUGCAACAUUAAUAAUUGAAUGAACCAAUCUAAUUAUUAAUUAAACUGCUAGAAUUAAGGAAAAUUCUUUAUCAAGUACUUAGUCACAUCAGAAUUCAUUUCUGUACCAGUAUACUCCUCUCGUCUCACCUUCAUCUUUCUCAACGUAAAUGCAUUCCUUCAUUUCUCUAUACAUGGCCUUCACAAUUGGAGUUCCAUCAUAUUGAUAAUAAUCACCUAAUAUCGGCUUCAUUGCCUCCGUUGCUUCGAGUCCGUGAUAAUGAGGGAUCAUGGAGAAUAUAUGGUGACAAACAUGAGCAUUGCACACAUUAUGGAACACCUUGUUCAAAAUCCCGUAAUCUCUAUCAACUGUGCAUAGAGCUCCUCUCAACCAAUCCCACUCCGUAGAAUCAUAGUAAGGCAAAGAAGGAUGAGUGUGAUUAAGUAUGGUAAUCAACACGAACCAUCCGUUAACAACAAGCAAAGGACCUCCAUACACACAGAAAACCCAAGCAAAUCCUUUGAGUAACACGAGCCGAUAUAGACCAUAUAUGACGGCAAGAAUAGCAAUAUCAGAAAUAACAAUUUCCUUGCGCUCACGGUCAGAGUAAAGCGGACUAUGAGGAUCAUAAUGGGAAGUCCACCUUCCGUACUUGUGUCCAGAUACAUUGAACAUCAAGUAUAAAGGAAAACCAAUAAUAAGGGUGGUGAGCCACACGAGCACGCGGCCCGGAGGAUUGUUGAGCAUUUUGUAGUAGUUUCGGAUAUUGGACUUGAAUCUCGGGACAUAGACCUCGUCAUUGUCAAGAGAUUGAGUAUUGGCGUGGUGACGACGGUGGCUAAUUUUCCAAGAGAAAUAAGGGACCAAUAGGGAGGAAUGGACUAUUAGGCCCACGAGGUCGUCGACCCAUUGGUAGUCACUAAAGGCGUGGUGGUCGCAUUCGUGGCCUAUGACCCAAGCUCCGGUUAGUACACAACCUUGGACGGCAAUGUAAGCGGCCCAGCCUAAGUAGUUGAGGGGAUGGGGAAGGUAUUGGUCGAUGUAAUUGGUGGCAAUGUAAUAGAGGGAGUAGGCCAUGAGGAGAUCUUGAAUGAGGUAGCGGAAUGAGGUGACGAGGGAUUUUUGGAAGCAAUGGGCCGGAAUGGCUUUUUUAAGAUCUCCAAUGGUGAAGGGAGGUUUGUCGUGAGGGGCUCGGCGAAGGGCUUCGGCUUGUGUCUUCUUGUUGGCAUUAGGGGGAGCUGACAUACGCCCACCUGCACCCAUUUUCUUGGGUUUAUUGGCUUGCCUGAAAUUAGGAAAAGAAAAAUUUACCAUAUUAAUCACGGAGCUUAAUUAAGCGGGUAUACGUUUAUAUGUGCUAUUAAAGAUAGAGGCACCCAAAGAAAUUUUUAAAAAAUAGCACACAUGCAAAGUUUAACGAUGGUGCAUAAUAGGAAAAUGUUGCAUAUGUCGAACUUGUUUUGUUCCAACGGAUGCAACUUUCAAAUAUUUUAUUAAGAAAAGUUGCAUCCGCACAUACUGUUGUUCCAAAAUUUCUUCUGGUACAUGUAGUUUUAUCCAUACAUGAAAUUAAUAAAAUAUAUAUGUCUUGAAAAGCUCAAAUAUAUAUAUAUACAUACUGUUUGGCAAGUGUAAUUAAGAAA
rnacentral:lncRNA from 1 species